rnacentral:ncRNA from 2 species
GCUAACUUUUCAAAAACUGGUUUUGCUUAGCUGCAAAUGAAAAGGGAAUCGUGUGAAAAUCACGAACUGUCGCGCAACUGUAGAGUAAUAGAAGUCUUUAUUAAAAAUCCACUGUGCAAAAAACUGUAUGGGAAGGAAAUAAAGAUGUUACAAGUCAGGAGACCUGCCAUUUUUUUCAGACAAAG